rnacentral:rRNA from 1 species
AUGAACGCUAGCGACAGGCCUAACACAUGCAAGUCGAGGGGCAGCACAAGGAGCAAUCUGAGGUGGCGACCGGCGCACGGGUGAGUAACACGUAUGCAACCUGGCUGUAAGAGGGGAAUAACCCGGAGAAAUCCGGACUAAUACCGCAUAAUACUUAGAAUCCGCAUGGAUUUUUAAGUUAAACAUUUUAUGGCUUACAGAUGGGCAUGCGCAUGAUUAGCUAGUUGGAGAGGUAACGGCUCCCCAAGGCAACGAUCAUUAGGGGUUCUGAGAGGAAGGUCCCCCACACUGGUACUGAGACACGGACCAGACUCCUACGGGAGGCAGCAGUGAGGAAUAUUGGUCAAUGGACGAGAGUCUGAACCAGCCAAGUCGCGUGCAGGAAGAAUGUCCCUAUGGAUUGUAAACCGCUUUUGCAGGGGAAUAAAGUGCAUCACGUGUGAUGUUUUGUAUGUACUCUGCGAAUAAGGAUCGGCUAACUCCGUGCCAGCAGCCGC